UACGGAGGAUCCAAGCGUUAUCCGGAUUUAUUGGGUUUAAAGGGUGCGUAGGCGGCCUGUUAAGUCAGGGGUGAAAGACGGUGGCUCAACCAUCGCAGUGCCCUUGAUACUGAUGGGCUUGAAUUAACUAGGAGGUAGGCGGAAUGUGACAAGUAGCGGUGAAAUGCAUAGAUAUGUCACAGAACACCGAUUGCGAAGGCAGCUUACUAUGGUUUGAUUGACGCUGAGGCACGAAAGCGUGGGGAUCGAACAGG
rnacentral:rRNA from 1 species